CUUAUCGAGUUACAAGCAUUUGUAUACAAUUGAGUGGGUUCGUAACUUGGGUGGGUACAACUUGUACUGGUUUACAAGUUGCGUAUGUAUUUUAGAUGUACACUUCAUCCUUUUAAGAAGUCAAAAAAUGCAAAAAUUGUUUAAUAAAUAAAUUCUAGCGAAAAUUUAACUAUAUCAAAAGUUGUCAGUGAGAUCUGUUCGACUCUGUCUAUUCAAAUGUGAUAUGUGCACACACACACACACGCCUGUUAUUUCAUAAGCAAAAGUUCGUUCGCUGUUCUCAAAAAUCCUGUUUUUAGCUACCUGUGUGAUUUCCGUCACCUCACCACAACCACCUAUUAUCUCACAAUAAUGAUAAGCCUAUACGUUAUCGUCGUCUUUCGCUUCAUCUAAAAUCCGUUCGUUGCGGCGUUCUACUGCCGACAUAACGUCGCGUUGUAACGGCCGUCCGUUGUCCUCGAAAAUGCUGUUUCUUGCUACCAGUUUAUUGCCGAUACGAUCCAAUAGCUUCUGCAGACGUAUACGCCUCACCGUUGACCGUUUUUAAUAUUCACCAGACGUCCGCACACGUCAUUACCCAUUCGCCGCGUCCCUCAACUACCCGGGUUGUAAUUUUUCAUGAAUGUCAGCCGUCUAUACCCGUCAGCUAAAAGGCGUACACUGCCCUUGCGGAACAGCCUGCACUACCGAAGCAAGCCAAAAUUUGCAUUAUAUCUACGAUUUCUGGCGCUCAAUACACAAAAUGUGUGAUUGUCCAUUUCGAGAGUGACGUAAAAACUAGAGAACACUACGUAUGGCUUGCAAACUAACUCAAUUCAACCGCUUGAUAUGUAUUACAAUUAAUUAAUUUCUACUUUUCAUACUCCCAGCACCUAAUGAAAUUGUUGAUGGCUGUAACUUUUUGUCAAAUAAAUACAUUUUCUGUAUUGUUAAAAACCUUGCGAGUAUAGUUAAAACUACUCUUAUCUGAUAUUCACUGGAGAAACAACAAUACAAUCUCAGCUGAUGAUAUUUAGUUCUUCGAAGAGUUAGUUUAAAUUAAUGGUAGUGUGUUAAUAAGAAUAAAAGUAUUUCUAAAAGCGGAUACCCACGACUGGUGUACUUGCCAAGUACACCAAUAAUUGUAUACUUGCCAAAUCAUCCAAUUAUUAACAAGUGGAGCGUUUCCAUGAGUGGUAUACUUGACAAGUAUACCAGUACUUGUAUACUUGUACAAGUAAUAAACAAAAGCCAAGUAUACUAUUCCUACGAUCAAAUGCCAAAUAAUUGUAUUGGGAGCGGGAAAUAUUAAGACAUAUAUCAUUUGCUUUUUUAGCGCUGCAGUGUUUGGACGUUUUAUGAUAAUGAUAAAAUGUUUAUGCUUCAUACAUAAUUAUGUGUGGAAAGUGCUUAAAGUACAAAAAAUUGAAAAAAAAAGAUGGUAGAUGACAUUGUUAUAUAAAGAAAGACAAUGGUAAAGAGCAACAAAUAUAAUGAUAGAUUUAAGGCGCGAACCAUCCGGAAAGUUUGAGAACUUUUGCCGAAUAUCUGAUAAGGUUAUAUUUAUAUUUUUUAAUUACGUUGAAUUGUAGUAAAAUAAUUUAUGAUAUUAUUUAAAUUGACAAUAGUGUAACCUAUGUUUUAAGGAACCAAUAAACGUGUG